GUCAGCUAAUUUGGAAGGCACAGAGUAACUUGCUCUAGACCCUUUAUUUUAGGACCAACUAGUAAUUGAAAGGAGAUAUGAUCACUCUUCUUGAUUUUCUUGCUCCACAUCUGUGUUGCAUUCAAUUACUGCUGUCUUUAAAUGUUUCUGACCUAGCUAGAAAGGAUAUCCUCUCCUAUGAUAUGUGAUUUGGUUUCAGAGAAGUGCUGGGAUGGGUGCAGGGGCAAGAUGCUGAACAUGAUGUACAAUCACACAAGCCAGAGCUUCAAGCAUACCUCAUCAUCCUUCUUUCCAGGUGGAAGAAUUCCAGCCUUCUUCAUUUCUUCCUGUAAAGCAUAA
rnacentral:lncRNA from 1 species